UACGGGGGGGGCAAGCGUUGUUCGGAAUUACUGGGCGUAAAGGGCUCGUAGGCGGCCAACUAAGUCGGAUGUGAAAUCCCCAGGCUCAACCUGGGAACUGCAUCCGAUACUGGAUGGCUUGAAUCCGGGAGAGGGAUGCAGAAUUCCAGGUGUAGCGGUGAAAUGCGUAGAUAUCAGGAGGAACACCGGUGGCGAAGGCGGUUCUCUGGGAAUGACCUGACGCUGAGGAGCGAAAGUGUGGGGAGCGAACAGG
rnacentral:rRNA from 1 species